GUCAGCGACUGCUCCCCCAGCCGGCCUGGCCCAGCAGGCAGCAGAGUCUGUCCGCCGCCGCCGUCCCGCUACCAAUCAGCCAUGUUCGUUGAGAGUUGGAAAAAAAUCGCUCCGUGAAUCAAGCGUUCCACGGCCUGCCCCCCUGUUCGAAGUGCCCUAGUUUUGUAGUGAUACGGUGGCUAAGCUCUCCGUCUUUUAUUUUCCGUGAGUUUGGAAUCUCCACGAUACAGCCAUGAGUUACGGGAGGCCUCCGCCUAGAAUUGAUGGCAUGGUGUCUCUGAAAGUGGGCAACCUGACCUACCGAACGACGACCGACGAUUUGCGACGGGUGUUCGAAAAAUUCGGCGAAGUCGGGGAUGUCUACAUCCCGAAAGACAGAUUCUCACGAGAGAGUAGAGGAUUUGCGUUCGUGAGGUUCUAUGACAAACGAGAUGCUGAAGACGCACUGGACGCUAUGGAUGGAAGACUCCUCGACGGAAGGGAAUUGCGAGUCCAGAUGGCCCGCUAUGGACGGCCUUCUUCACCAUACCGCAGGAACAGCCGCAGAAGAAGCCGAUCUGGUUCUCGUUCCCGCCGCCGUUCUCGCAGUCGCAGUCGCAGCCGAUCUCGCUCCCGCUACUCGAGAUCUCGAUCUCGCCGCCGCUCCUACUCCAGGUCCCGGUCCCGCUCUCGUUCUGACAGCAAGAGCUCACGAGGCAGGUCCCGCUCCAGGUCAAAGAGUGCUGACCGAGCAGAACGCACCAGCAAGUCACGUUCCAAGUCCAAAGAUUAAGAUUGAACGUGCAAAUGGUUUUGGGGGAGAGUUGAGCGCUGUUUGGUGCUUCAUUCAAAGGGCGCGAGACCGUGCGCUGUGGUAGCGGUAACGAGUGCUGAGAAUGGGGGUUGCGGUUGCGAGACUAUGCUGAGAUCGGGGUGUUGCGAGCGAGCUCCAGGCUCCAGGCUCCGGGCGUGCUCCAGGCCAGACGAGACAAGCGAGACACGAGACUUGGUCGUGGAGGCCGAGCCUGGCCGAGCCUGGCCGGGACAUGGCGAGCGUGCGGGUUGCUGUUUGGCUGACAUUUUCGGGGCAGGCAGUUUCCUCAGUCGCUGAGUCCGUAAUGUUGGCCACACUCAGAAUUGAGUGUUCAAACAAAAAAAAAUCUCUCCUCGCCUUAACAAUCACAUCAGGCUUUCCCUACUUACACUAUUACACAAUCUUUAAGCAAAUGGUCAAGCAAAGCUGGUCAUAUGAAUUUUUACCAUAUGAUUGUCUUUUUUCUAUUUUGUGAUCCUGUUUUUUGGCCAUUUGCCUCAAGAUUUUUCUUGCCUAUCACCUUGCCUGAAUACUUAAUCCUUCAAAACUUCAACCUUUAUCAUAGUUGCUGCACAAUUUAGCAAGGUGGGUAUUCAGAGAAAUUUUGUCAUUUCUAGUGUAAAUGCAAGGUUCUGUACAGCUGGGCAGAUUUGAGUAGCUAAUUCACUGGCGUUACUCUUCAGUAUCGCAUCUUUCUAAACUCGUAUGCUAGGUGUUAUUCAUGCACCUGCCAUUAACUUAAUUCCCACUCUUGCAGGGGUAGCUAAAAGCAGUUCAACUUAUUUUAUGAAAGUCUGUACUGCCCAAUACCUGCUUCAGGUUCAAUACCCAAUGUUCAAUAUCAAUUGUAGACUGCAUGUUGCCUUUACACAUUUCCUCUGCAUGUGGACAAUAUGACAGUAUAUCCCAUUUUUUUCAUAGCUGCUGAUAUCUAGCCAUACAUUUUCUUUGUUUAAUUUCUGGCUAGAUCAAUGUUGAGUGCUUUUCUUGUACCAUGUAGGGAGGUACAGUACUUUUUAGUUUGGAAAAUAUUUAGCUGAGACACAAGUUUGUAAGAUACAUGGUGUUGGUGUCUCUCCAUUCUAUAUAUAUUUUUUUAAAUUAAAUGAAACCAUGUUGAAUGGUAUGCAUGUGAAGUGCUCUGGUGGUGGCUAUUUCGUGGUGAAAGGCUUGGGACUGAUGUGCUGUUGAAAUGACACUUCAAUCAAGUCAAUUUCUUAUGCCAGACCUACAUUCUGGCAGUUGCACUUAGUAAUAUACAUUUCAAUUAAUGGCAACGAAAGAAAAGAGCUGGUAACUUUUGGAAUCUAAAGACAUUUUUUCCCAUUCUUUUCUUUACAUUUUAUGGAUGGCGUCUUGUCACAUGUUAUUGAUAUUUGUUCUUUUUCAGAUUCUCUGAUGGGUGAAAUUUGCUGUGGAUGUGCCUUUGUUUCAGAGUAAAUAAAAUUCUUGUGCUAAAAA